UACGGAGGAUGCGAGCGUUAUCCGGAUUUAUUGGGUUUAAAGGGUGCGUAGGCGGAUCGAUAAGUCAGUGGUGAAAACCUGCAGCUUAACUGUAGACUUGCCGUUGAUACUGUUGGUCUUGAGUAUGGUCAAGGUAGGCGGAAUGUGUAAUGUAGCGGUGAAAUGCUUAGAUAUUACACAGAACACCGAUUGCGAAGGCAGCUUACUGGGCCAUUACUGACGCUGAUGCACGAAAGCGUGGGGAUCGAACAGG
rnacentral:rRNA from 1 species